rnacentral:rRNA from 1 species
GGUGAAAAGCACCCCGGAAGGGGAGUGAAAUAGAACCUGAAACCGUGUGCUUACAAGUAGUCAGAGCCCGUUAAUGGGUGAUGGCGUGCCUUUUGUAGAAUGAACCGGCGAGUUACGAUUUGAUGCAAGGUUAAGCAGUAAAUGUGGAGCCGUAGCGAAAGCGAGUCUGAAUAGGGCGUUUAGUAUUUGGUCGUAGACCCGAAACCAGGUGAUCUACCCUUGGUCAGGUUGAAGUUCAGGUAACACUGAAUGGAGGACCGAACCGACUUACGUUGAAAAGUGAGCGGAUGAACUGAGGGUAGCGGAGAAAUUCCAAUCGAACCUGGAGAUAGCUGGUUCUCUCCGAAAUAGCUUUAGGGCUAGCCUCAAGUGAUGAUUAUUGGAGGUAGAGCACUGUUUGGACGAGGGGCCCCUCUCGGGUUACCGAAUUCAGACAAACUCCGAAUGCCAAUUAAUUUAACUUGGGAGUCAGAACAUGGGUGAUAAGGUCCGUGUUCGAAAGGGAAACAGCCCAGACCACCAGCUAAGGUCCCAAAAUAUAUGUUAAGUGGAAAAGGAUGUGGCGUUGCCCAGACAACUAGGAUGUUGGCUUAGAAGCAGCCAUCAUUUAAAGAGUGCGUAAUAGCUCACUAGUCGAGUGACACUGCGCCGAAAAUGUACCGGGGCUAAACAUAUUACCGAAGCUGUGGAUUGUCCUUUGGACAAUGGUAGGAGAGCGUUCUAAGGGCGUUGAAGCAUGAUCGUAAGGACAUGUGGAGCGCUUAGAAGUGAGAAUGCCGGUGUGAGUAGCGAAAGACGGGUGAGAAUCCCGUCCACCGAUUGACUAAGGUUUCCAGAGGAAGGCUCGUCCGCUCUGGGUUAGUCGGGUCCUAAGCUGAGGCCGACAGGCGUAGGCGAUGGAUAACAGGUUGAUAUUCCUGUACCACCUAUAAUCGUUUUAAUCGAUGGGGGGACGCAGUAGGAUAGGCGAAGCGUGCGAUUGGAUUGCACGUCUAAGCAGUAAGGCUGAGUAUUAGGCAAAUCCGGUACUCAUUAAGGCUGAGCUGUGAUGGGGAGAAGACAUUGUGUCUUCGAGUCGUUGAUUUCACACUGCCGAGAAAAGCCUCUAGAUAGAAAAUAGGUGCCCGUACCGCAAACCGACACAGGUAGUCAAGAUGAGAAUUCUAAGGUGAGCGAGCGAACUCUCGUUAAGGAACUCGGCAAAAUGACCCCGUAACUUCGGGAGAAGGGGUGCUCUUUAGGGUUAACGCCCAGAAGAGCCGCAGUGAAUAGGCCCAAGCGACUGUUUAUCAAAAACACAGGUCUCUGCUAAACCGUAA